rnacentral:rRNA from 1 species
UACGUAGGGGGCAAGCGUUGUCCGGAAUCAUUGGGCGUAAAGCGCGUGUAGGCGGCCUUGUAAGUCCGUUCUGAAAGCCCGGGGCUCAACCCCGGGAGGCGGAUGGAUACUGCGAGGCUCGAGUACGGAAGAGGCGAGUGGAAUUCCCGGUGUAGCGGUGAAAUGCGCAGAUAUCGGGAGGAACACCAAUGGCGAAGGCAGCUCGCUGGGACGUUACUGACGCUGAGACGCGAAAGCGUGGGGAGCAAACAGG